CCUACGGGAGGCAGCAGUGGGGAAUAUUGCACAAUGGGGGAAACCCUGAUGCAGCAACGCCGCGUGAGUGAAGAAGUAUUUCGGUAUGUAAAGCUCUAUCAGCAGGGAAGAAGAUGACGGUACCUGAUUAAGAAGCCCCGGCUAACUACGUGCCAGCAGCCGCGGUAAUACGUAGGGGGCAAGCGUUAUCCGGAUUUACUGGGUGUAAAGGGAGCGCAGACGGCAGUGCAAGUCUGGAGUGAAAGCCCGGGGCCCAACCCCGGAACUGCUCUGGAAACUGUGCGGCUAGAGUACUGGAGGGGCAGGCGGAAUUCCUAGUGUAGCGGUGAAAUGCGUAGAUAUUAGGAGGAACACCAGUGGCGAAGGCGGCCUGCUGGACAGUAACUGACGUUGAGGCUCGAAAGCGUGGGGAGCAAACAGGAUUAGAUACCCCUGUAG
rnacentral:rRNA from 1 species